CUUGGAUCGAUUUUCAAAAAAUUGUCUUUUGGGUCACAUGACCUGUGUGACGUCAAGAGCAGGGUAGAAUCAAAACAACAAAUAUAUUUUAUUAGGCGCAUAUUGCGACUUCGUACUUCUAGUGAGAAAUUUGGCGCUUUUUGAUUACUCGGAUGGAAAAUAUCCACGAUAUCAAGUAGAUAAGGUAUUACCUUAUCAAUUUGAACUAAAACUGGGCUUACAAACAAGCGAUAGCGGUGACGAGAGCGACUCCGAAGAACAGAGUGAACGUCUGACGAGGAAAUCACCAUGUGUUUGAGGUCGAAAAUGCUUGGCGCAUUGCACAUUGAAACCAAAGGAUAUUGAAUUGUUUUGUUGCCACGAUAAAGCGUUAGAAUACGAUGAAUAAGAUGCAUGAUUGAAGGAGGUUGAAACACAAGGGGAGAAGUGCUUGACUGCCUUUACAACACUGUCAACACAUGCAGAAUUCAAAGCGAACAUGCUGUCGGAAGGGCUAUUAAAUAGAUGUUUGUCGCUAUCUUGAAGAUAUUAAACUGGCCUCUGGAUGACAAAGAUUUGGACAAGAUACACAAAAUUUAUAGACUAGUAGCUUACCAGCGAUGUUCGCGUUGGG